rnacentral:rRNA from 1 species
AGUGAACGCUGGCGGCAUGCCUAACACAUGCAAGUCGAACGGCAGCACAGUAAGAGCUUGCUCUUACGGGUGGCGAGUCGCGGGCGUGAGAGGUAUACAUCGGAAUCUACUUUUUCGUGGGAGAUCACGUAGGGAGACUUACUCUAAUACCGCAUACCCCGUACGGGUGAGAGCGGGGGAUCUUCGCACCUUGCGCGAUUGGAUGAGCCGAUGUCGGAUUAGCUAGUUGGCGGGGUAAAGGCCCACCAGGGCGACGAUCCGUAGCUGGUCUGAGAGGAUGGUCGGCCACACUGGAACUGAGACACGGUCCAGACUCCUACGGGAGGCAGCAGUGGGGAAUAUUGGACAAUGGGCGCAAGCCUGAUCCAGCCAUGCCGCGUGGGUGAAGAAGGCCUUCGGGUUGUAAAGCCCUUUUGUUGGGAAAGAAAAGCAGCAGGUUAAUACCCCGCGGUUCUGACGGUACCGGAAGAAUAAGCACCGGCUAACUACGUG